UGGAUAAUGGCAAUGGAUAACGCGUCUGACUACGGAUCAGAAGAUUCUAGGUUCAAAUCCUUUCUCCUC